UUGAACUUUCUAAGGAAUAGGUUUAAACCAAAACUACAACCUAAUUCUUGAAAGUCAACA
rnacentral:pre_miRNA from 1 species